UACGUAGGGCGCAAGCGUUAUCCGGAAUUAUUGGGCGUAAAGAGCUCGUAGGCGGUUUGUCGCGUCUGCUGUGAAAGACCGGGGCUCAACUCCGGUUCUGCAGUGGGUACGGGCAGACUAGAGUGUGGUAGGGGAGACUGGAAUUCCUGGUGUAGCGGUGGAAUGCGCAGAUAUCAGGAGGAACACCGAUGGCGAAGGCAGGUCUCUGGGCCAUUACUGACACUGAGAAGCGAAAGCAUGGGGAGCGAACAGG
rnacentral:rRNA from 1 species